rnacentral:tRNA from 1 species
CUAGACAAACGGGCCUUGAUCCCAUAACAAUUUA